rnacentral:hammerhead_ribozyme from 1 species
AUCCAGAUGACGAGUUCCAAAUAGGACGAAAUACGCGUCCUGGAU